rnacentral:rRNA from 1 species
UACGUAGGGGGCGAGCGUUGUCCGGAAUCAUUGGGCGUAAAGCGCGUGUAGGCGGUUCGGUAAGUCUGCUGUGAAAGUCCAGGGCUCAACCCUGGGAUGCCGGUGGAUACUGCCGAACUAGAGUGCGGAAGAGGCGAGUGGAAUUCCCGGUGUAGCGGUGAAAUGCGCAGAUAUCGGGAAGAACACCAAUUGCGAAGGCAGCUCGCUGGGACGUGACUGACGCUGAGACGCGAAAGCGUGGGGAGCAAACAGG